GGUCGAAUGGUGUAGUGGUUAUCACGUGACUUUCACAUUGGUGUAUCCAGUCAAGGUCCUGAGUUCGAUCCUCAGUUCGAUCA